rnacentral:rRNA from 1 species
GACGAACGCUGGCGGCGUGCUUAACACAUGCAAGUCGAACGAUGAAGCCGGAGCUUGCUCCGGUGGAUUAGUGGCGAACGGGUGAGUAACACGUGAGCAAUCUGCCCUUGACUCUGGGAUAACUGCGGGAAACUGUAGCUAAUACCGGAUACGACACCUUGGGGCAUCCCAGGGUGUGGAAAGAAUUUCGGUCAAGGAUGAGCGCGCGGCCUAUCAGCUAGUUGGUGAGGUAAUGGCGCACCAAGGCGACGACGGGUAGCCGGCCUGAGAGGGUGACCGGCCACACUGGAACUGAGACACGGUCCAGACUCCUACGGGAGGCAGCAGUGGGGAAUAUUGCACAAUGGGCGAAAGCCUGAUGCAGCAACGCCGCGUGAGGGAUGAAGGCCUUCGGGUUGUAAACCUCUUUUAGCAGGGAAGAAGCGAAAGUGACGGUACCUGCAGAAAAAGCACCGGCUAACUACGUGCCAGCAGCCGCAGUAA